GACCAGGUAGCUCAAUUGGUAGAGUAUCCGUCUGGAGUACGAAGGGUCCCGGGUUCAAACCCCGGUCUGGCCA